CGCCUGUUUAUCAAAAACAUCGCCUCUUGCCAACAAAAUGUAUUAGAGGUCCCGCCUGCCCUGUGACCAAAAGUUUAACGGCCGCGGUAUCCUGACCGUGCGAAGGUAGCGCAAUCACUUGUCUUUUAAAUGAAGACCUGUAUGAAUGGCAUAACGAGGGUUUAACUGUCUCCUUUCCCCAGUCAAUGAAAUUGAUCUGUCCGUGCAGAAGCGGACAUUAAAACAUAAGACGAGAAGACCCUAUGGAGCUUCAGGCCAAGGGCCAAACAUGUAAAAUAAGCUAAACAAUAAUAGAUUAUAACAGAAAGUGAAAAACCAAAUGUAAAAUGACCCAAGUGCCUUCGGUUGGGGCGACCAUGGGGAAAAAAUAAACCCCCAGAUGGAAAGGGACAACCCUUAAACCAAGAAAAGUACUUCUAAGUAAUAGAACAUCUAACCAAAAAUGACCCAGAAACUAAUUCUGACCAAUAAAACAAGUUACCCUAGGGAUAACAGCGCAAUCCUUUCCUAGAGUCCAUAUCGACGAAGGGGUUUACGACCUCGAUGUUGGAUCAGGACACCCUAAUGGUGCAGCCGCUAUUAAGGGUUCGUUUGUUCAACGAUUAAUAGUCCUACGUGAUCUGAGUUCAGACCGG
rnacentral:rRNA from 1 species